rnacentral:rRNA from 1 species
AGCUCCAAUAGCGUAUAUUAAAGUUGUUGCGGUUAAAAGCUCGUAGUUGGAUUUCUGUCGGGGACAGUCGGUCCGCCCUUGGGGCGUGCAUCUGAUUCGGCCUCGGCAUCCUCUUGAGGUUCGUUUCUGCGCUUCAUUGCGUGGGGCGGAAUUCAAGACUUUUACUUUGAGGAAAUUAGAGUGUUCACGGCAAGCAAUCGCUUUGAAUACAUUAGCAUGGAAUAAUAAUAUAGGGCGUAAGUUCUAUUUUGUUGGUUUCUAGGACAUACGCAAUGAUUAAUAGGGACAAUUGGGGGCAUUCGUAUUAACGCGCUAGAGGUGGAAUUCUUAGAUUGCGUUACGACGAACUACUGCGAAAGCAUUUGCCAAGGAUGUUUUCA